GCAUCCUACGCACUGUCCGACUUGGUGUUCGUUUGCGGUCGCAAAUUCUUACUCCUCUGGCGGCGGCGGAGCAACGGAGAGGGCGAGGGAUAAGAGAGAGGCUUACGGCAGCAGCCAUGAAGCGAAGGGGGAAGGGCGAGAGGCCCAAAUCUGAUGCGUUCCCCGCUUCCCUCUCCAAGCGCCUUCGACGGCCGCCUCCGACCGAAGCGGCUGAAGGAGAGCCCGCCGAGGCAACUGCCGCCGCCUCGCCCUCCGUCGUCCUGGUCACCGGCCUCCCCGCUGACUGCACCGUGCUGGAACUGAAGUCCCGCCUGGAGAUGUACGGCCCCAUCUCCCGCACCCGCAUCGACGUCGACGGCCGCGGCUUCGUCACCUUCCGCUCCGACCACGCCGCUGAGGCCGCCAUCUCUGCCUCCCUCGACCCGGCCUUCGGUGUCACCGUUCGAUCCAAAAAGGUACUGGUAGUUCGGGCGAGUGAUCCGAUACCAGCAAAGAUGGGAGCAGGGAUUUCUUCCACCUCGAGGCUUCUUCGUGCAGAAAUACCCCUGAGCCGACAUGGUCCAAGUAAAGAGAAGCUCGAUGCAGGUGCGACUGCAGAGAGGAGCAAAAGCGGACCAGAGGUUUCCCACGAUGGUCGGGAAAUCAUCGCUUACGAUGAUCUAUUUUGACAUCCACUUGGAUUAACCGUGUGAGGUUCCAUCUGAAUGUUAUGUUGUGAUGUAUCAAAUGACUGGCCGUAUGUUUGAGAUUAUUGGCCUAUUUAAUUUAGGUCAUCAUCAAUAUCAUCAUGACCAGCACUAUCACCAAUAUCACUUGGAACCUAUUUUAAAUGAUCCUUUUUGUGUUUGCAGAUCAUAUGGGAAUUGAGGUGAGGUUACUGACAAAUAAUGACUGAUCAUAUCGAAUGUCUUUUUUGUUCCACUCUAUGAAAGCGUAUCUUUUGUUUAA